rnacentral:rRNA from 1 species
GAUGAACGCUGGCGGCGUGCCUAAUACAUGCAAGUCGAGCGAACAGACGAGGAGCUUGCUCCUCUGACGUUAGCGGUGGACGGGUGAGUAACACGUGGAUAACCUACCUAUAAGACUGGGAUAACUUCGGGAAACCGGAGCUAAUACCGGAUAACAUGUUGAACCGCAUGGUUCAACAGUGGAAGACGGUCUUGCUGUCACUUAUAGAUGGAUCCGCGCCGCAUUAGCUAGUUGGUAAGGUAACGGCUUACCAAGGCAACGAUGCGUAGCCGACCUGAGAGGGUGAUCGGCCACACUGGAACUGAGACACGGUCCAGACUCCUACGGGAGGCAGCAGUAGGGAAUCUUCCGCAAUGGGCGAAAGCCUGACAGAGCAACGCCGCGUGAGUGAAGAAGGUCUUCGGAUCGUAAAACUCUGUUAUUAGGGAAGAACAAAUGUGUAAGUAACUAUGCACGUCUUGACGGUACCUAAUCAGAAAGCCACGGCUAACUACGUGCCAGCCGCCGCCGUAA